GUGAGUAACACGUGGGAACGUACCUUUUGGUUCGGAACAACUGAGGGAAACUUCAGCUAAUACCGGAUAAGCCCUAACGGGGAAAGAUUAUCGCCGAAAGAUCGGCCCGCGUCUGAUUAGCUAGUUGGUGAGGUAAUGGCUCACCAAGGCGACGAUCAGUAGCUGGUCUGAGAGGAUGAUCAGCCACACUGGGACUGAGACACGGCCCAGACUCCUACGGGAGGCAGCAGUGGGGAAUAUUGGACAAUGGGGGCAACCCUGAUCCAGCCAUGCCGCGUGAGUGAUGAAGGCCCUAGGGUUGUACAGCUCUUUUGUGCGGGAAGAUAAUGACGGUACCGCAAGAAUAAGCCCCGGCUAACUUCGUGCCAGCAGCCGCGGUAAUACGAAGGGGGCUAGCGUAGCUCGGAAUCACUGGGCGUAAAGGGUGCGUAGGCGGGUCUUUAA
rnacentral:rRNA from 1 species